GCCCGUUUAGCUCAGUGGUAGAGCGCGCCACUCGUAUGGAAUGAACUGUUCAGUACAGUUGGUUACGCAAUAUGGUGAGGUCACUCGUUCGAUCCGGGUAGUGGGCA